AGUGAACGCUGGCGGUAGGCCUAACACAUGCAAGUCGAACGGCAGCACAGUAAGAGCUUGCUCUUACGGGUGGCGAGUGGCGGACGGGUGAGGAAUACAUCGGAAUCUACUUUUUCGUGGGGGAUAACGUAGGGAAACUUACGCUAAUACCGCAUACGACCUACGGGUGAAAGCAGGGGAUCUUCGGGCCUUGCGCGAUUGAAUGAGCCGAUGUCGGAUUAGCUAGUUGGCGGGGUAAAGGCCCACCAAGGCGACGAUCCGUAGCUGGUCUGAGAGGAUGAUCAGCCACACUGGAACUGAGACACGGUCCAGACUCCUACGGGAGGCAGCAGUGGGGAAUAUUGGACAAUGGGCGCAAGCCUGAUCCAGCCAUACCGCGUGGGUGAAGAAGGCCUUCGGGUUGUAAAGCCCUUUUGUUGGGAAAGAAAAGCGGCAGGUUAAUACCCCGCUGUUCUGACGGUACCCAAAGAAUAAGCACCGGCUAACUUCGUG
rnacentral:rRNA from 1 species